UCAGAAAUAGCUCAGUUGGUAGAACGUCAGACUAUAAUCGAAAGGUCCUUGUUCGGUCCCGGGUUCCGGCA
rnacentral:tRNA from 1 species